GUUUAUUUACCUUGUUGCUUCGGCGGGCCCGCCUCACGGCCGCCGGGGGGCACCUGCCCCCGGGCCCGCGCCCGCCGAAGACACCAUUGAACUCUGUCUGAAGUUUGCAGUCUGAGCGAUUAGCUAAAUCAGUUAAAACUUUCAACAACGGAUCUCUUGGUUCCGGCAUCGAUGAAGAACGCAGCGAAAUGCGAUACGUAAUGUGAAUUGCAGAAUUCAGUGAAUCAUCGAGUCUUUGAACGCACAUUGCGCCCCCUGGUAUUCCGGGGGGCAUGCCUGUCCGAGCGUCAUUGCUGCCCUCAAGCACGGCUUGUGUGUUGGGCCCCGCCCCCCGGUCUCGGGGGGCGGACCCGAAAGGCAGCGGCGGCACCGCGUCCGGUCCUCGAGCGUAUGGGGCUUCGUCACCCGCUCUGUAGGCCCGGCCGGCGCCCGCCGGCGACCCCAAUCAAUCUAUCCAGGUUGACCUCGGAUCAGGUAGGGAUACCCGCUGAACUUAAGCAUAUCAA
rnacentral:rRNA from 1 species